rnacentral:lncRNA from 1 species
GUACUCUUGUGCUUGGAAGUAAUUACUGUACGUUCAACUGCUGUUUUGGCUUGAAUUGUAAGCGACAUUAGUGGUUGAUCAAUAAUAAGAAUAAUUCCGGUUUUACUGGUUGAUCAAUAAUAAGAAUAAUUCAGGUUUUGGAGCAAGAGACAGUGAAGUAAAAUUUUAAAUGGAUCUUUGGCUCAGAUAUUAUUUCUUUCGGUAAUCGCCUCUUAAGCUAAUUGUCGUGCUGAUGGUGUUACUUGAUAAGCCUUACAUGAUAUCUGAUAUUCAAAGCUAAGUUAGUCGGACUCUCCAAAAAUGUUGCCGCAACCGUGUUGGAUCCUUCAAAAAUACACUAUUUUUGGAGGACCCGAGACACACCCAUUGACAUUUUUGAAGAGUCUAGGCAACAUAGACUAAAGUGUUAUGAAAGCUUGAUAUGAUGUUUAUGCCUUUAUUUUUAUUUUUUGGGGGGUCUGUCGGAAACAACCUCUCUACUUCUGCGGAGGUAGUGGUAUGGACUGNNN